UACCAGCACCCCGAGUGGUCGGGACGAUUAUUGGGCCUAAAGCAUCCGUAGCCGGUCCUACAAGUCCCCCGUUAAAUCCAACUGCUUAACAGAUGGGCUGCGGAAGAUACUAUAGAGCUAGGAGGCGGGAGAGGCAAGCGGUACUCGAUGGGUAGGGGUAAAAUCCGUUGAUCCAUUGAAGACCACCAGUGGCGAAGGCGGCUUGCCAGAACGCGCUCGACGGUGAGGGAUGAAAGCUGGGGGAGCAAACCGG
rnacentral:rRNA from 1 species